CCUACGGGCGGCAGCAGUGAGGAAUAUUGGUCAAUGGACGAGAGUCUGAACCAGCCAAGUAGCGUGAAGGAUGACUGCCCUAUGGGUUGUAAACUUCUUUUAUAUGGGAAUAAAAUGUUCCACGUGUGGGAUUUUGUAUGUACCAUAUGAAUAAGGAUCGGCUAACUCCGUGCCAGCAGCCGCGGUAAUACGGAGGAUCCGAGCGUUAUCCGGAUUUAUUGGGUUUAAAGGGAGCGUAGGUGGAUUGUUAAGUCAGUUGUGAAAGUUUGCGGCUCAACCGUAAAAUUGCAGUUGAAACUGGCAGUCUUGAGUACAGUAGAGGUGGGCGGAAUUCGUGGUGUAGCGGUGAAAUGCUUAGAUAUCACGAAGAAAUCCGAUUGCGAAGGCAGUUCACUGGACUGCAACUGACACUGAGGCUCGAAAGUGUGGGUAUCAAACAGGAUUAGAUACCCUAGUAGUC
rnacentral:rRNA from 1 species